rnacentral:rRNA from 1 species
GACGAACGCUGGCGGCGUGCCUAAUACAUGCAAGUCGAACGCACUCUCGUUUAGAUUGAAGGAGUUUGCUCCUGAUUGAUAAACAUUUGAGUGAGUGGCGGACGGGUGAGUAACACGUGGGUAACCUGCCCUAAAGUGGGGGAUAACAUUUGGAAACAGAUGCUAAUACCGCAUAAAACCUAACACCGCAUGGUGUAGGGUUGAAAGAUGGUUUCGGCUAUCACUUUAGGAUGGACCCGCGGUGCAUUAGUUAGUUGGUGAGGUAAAGGCUCACCAAGACCGUGAUGCAUAGCCGACCUGAGAGGGUAAUCGGCCACACUGGGACUGAGACACGGCCCAGACUCCUACGGGAGGCAGCAGUAGGGAAUCUUCCACAAUGGACGAAAGUCUGAUGGAGCAACGCCGCGUGAGUGAAGAAGGUUUUCGGAUCGUAAAACUCUGUUGUUGGAGAAGAAUGUAUCUGAUAGUAACUGAUCAGGUAGUGACGGUAUCCAACCAGAAGGCCACGGCUAACUACGUG